GGCAGCACAUAUACUAAAAUUGGAACGAUACAGAAAAGAUUAGCAUGGCCCCUGCACAAGGAUGACAUGCAAAUUUGUGAAGCAUUCCAUAUUUUU
rnacentral:snRNA from 1 species